ACAGCAGUCGCCACGGGAAUACAGAGGGUGCAAGCGUUAAUCGGAAUUACUGGGCGUAAAGCGCGCGUAGGUGGUUUGUUAAGUUGGAUGUGAAAUCCCCGGGCUCAACCUGGGAACUGCAUUCAAAACUGACUGACUAGAGUAUGGUAGAGGGUGGUGGAAUUUCCUGUGUAGCGGUGAAAUGCGUAGAUAUAGGAAGGAACACCAGUGGCGAAGGCGACCACCUGGACUAAUACUGACACUGAGGUGCGAAAGCGUGGGGAGCAAACAGGAUUAGAUACCCCUGUAGUCCCUGUCUCUUAUAC
rnacentral:rRNA from 1 species